rnacentral:tRNA from 1 species
GCUCUGGUAGUAUAAUAAAUUACCUUGGUCUUGUAAACCAAAAAUGAAAAUAAAAUCUUCCCAGAACA